rnacentral:SRP_RNA from 1 species
UCAGCGUCGGCGGCCACGGCGAUCAUUUGUUCGGAGGGGGGCGGCGGCGGUGGCAGCGGCUUCGGGAGGGUGGUAUGGCUCCACUGAGGGUUGGAAC